AUUGAACGCUGGCGGCAUGCCUUACACAUGCAAGUCGAACGGCAGCGGACCUUCGGGUGCCGGCGAGUGGCGAACGGGUGAGUAAUAUAUCGGAACGUACCUUUCAGUGGGGGAUAACGUAGCGAAAGUUACGCUAAUACCGCAUAUUCUGUGAGCAGGAAAGCAGGGGAUCGCAAGACCUUGCGCUGAUUGAGCGGCCGAUAUCAGAUUAGCUAGUUGGUGAGGUAAAGGCUCACCAAGGCGACGAUCUCUAGCUGGUCUGAGAGGACGAUCAGCCACACUGGGACUGAGACACGGCCCAGACUCCUACGGGAGGCAGCAGUGGGGAAUAUUGGACAAUGGGCGAAAGCCUGAUCCAGCAAUGCCGCGUGUGUGAAGAAGGCCUGAGGGUUGUAAAGCACUCUCAAUCGUGAAGAAAAGUUGCAGGCUAAUACCCUGUGACCUUGACGUUAACGAUACAAGAAGCACCGGCUAA
rnacentral:rRNA from 1 species